CCCUUAGAUGUCCUGGGCCGCACGCGUGCUACACUGAUGCAUACAGCGAGUACUUUCCAGCUCCGCGAGGCAGCUGGUAAUCAGCAAUAUGCAUCGUGCUGGGGAUAGAUCUUUGGAAUUAUAGAUCUUGAACGAGGAAUCCCUAGUAAGCGCAAGUCAUUAGCUUGCGCUGAUUAAGUCCCUGCCCUUUGUACACACCGCCCGUCGCUCCUACCGAUUUCGAGUGAUUCGGUGAACCUUUUGGACAGCGUCUGUCCUCGUGUCAGAUGCUGAAAGUCAAGUAAACCAUAUCACUUAGAGGAAGGAGAAGUCGUAACA
rnacentral:rRNA from 1 species